rnacentral:rRNA from 1 species
UAAGGGCGCACGGUGGAUGCCUUGGCACUAGAAGCCGAUGAAGGACGUUACUAACGACGAUAUGCUUUGGGGAGCUGUAAGUAAGCUUUGAUCCAGAGAUUUCCGAAUGGGGAAACCCAGCAUGAGUUAUGUCAUGUUAUCGAUAUGUGAAUACAUAGCAUAUCAGAAGGCACACCCGGAGAACUGAAACAUCUUAGUACCCGGAGGAAGAGAAAGAAAAUUCGAUUCCCUUAGUAGCGGCGAGCGAAACGGGAAGAGCCCAAACCAACAAGCUUGCUUGUUGGGGUUGUAGGACACUCUAUACGGAGUUACAAAGGACGACAUUAGACGAAUCAUCUGGAAAGAUGAAUCAAAGAAGGUAAUAAUCCUGUAGUCGAAAAUGUUGUCUCUCUUGAGUGGAUCCUGAGUACGACGGAGCACGUGAAAUUCCGUCGGAAUCUGGGAGGACCAUCUCCUAAGGCUAAAUACUCUCUAGUGACCGAUAGUGAACCAGUACCGUGAGGGAAAGGUGAAAAGCACCCCGGAAGGGGAGUGAAAUAGAACCUGAAACCGUGUGCUUACAAGUAGUCAGAGCCCGUUAAUGGGUGAUGGCGUGCCUUUUGUAGAAUGAACCGGCGAGUUACGAUUUGAUGCAAGGUUAAGCAGUAAAUGUGGAGCCGUAGCGAAAGCGAGUCUGAAUAGGGCGUUUAGUAUUUGGUCGUAGACCCGAAACCAGGUGAUCUACCCUUGGUCAGGUUGAAGUUCAGGUAACACUGAAUGGAGGACCGAACCGACUUACGUUGAAAAGUGAGCGGAUGAACUGAGGGUAGCGGAGAAAUUCCAAUCGAACCUGGAGAUAGCUGGUUCUCUCCGAAAUAGCUUUAGGGCUAGCCUCAAGUGAUGAUUAUUGGAGGUAGAGCACUGUUUGGACGAGGGGCCCCUCUCGGGUUACCGAAUUCAGACAAACUCCGAAUGCCAAUUAAUUUAACUUGGGAGUCAGAACAUGGGUGAUAAGGUCCGUGUUCGAAAGGGAAACAGCCCAGACCACCAGCUAAGGUCCCAAAAUAUAUGUUAAGUGGAAAAGGAUGUGGCGUUGCCCAGACAACUAGGAUGUUGGCUUAGAAGCAGCCAUCAUUUAAAGAGUGCGUAAUAGCUCACUAGUCGAGUGACACUGCGCCGAAAAUGUACCGGGGCUAAACAUAUUACCGAAGCUGUGGAUUGUCCUUUGGACAAUGGUAGGAGAGCGUUCUAAGGGCGUUGAAGCAUGAUCGUAAGGACAUGUGGAGCGCUUAGAAGUGAGAAUGCCGGUGUGAGUAGCGAAAGACGGGUGAGAAUCCCGUCCACCGAUUGACUAAGGUUUCCAGAGGAAGGCUCGUCCGCUCUGGGUUAGUCGGGUCCUAAGCUGAGGCCGACAGGCGUAGGCGAUGGAUAACAGGUUGAUAUUCCUGUACCACCUAUAAUCGUUUUAAUCGAUGGGG